GGUGAUGUGGCUCCGUGGGAAAGCGCACACCUGGCAUGCAUGAGGCACUGGGUUCGAUCCUCAGCACCACAU
rnacentral:tRNA from 1 species